rnacentral:rRNA from 1 species
UACGGGGGGGGCAAGCGUUGUUCGGAAUUACUGGGCGUAAAGCGCGCGUAGGCGGCUUUUCAAGUCAGUUGUGAAAUCUCCGGGCUUAACUCGGAAAGGUCAACUGAUACUGUGCGACUAGAGUGCGGAAGGGGCAACUGGAAUUCUUGGUGUAGCGGUGAAAUGCGUAGAUAUCAAGAGGAACACCUGCGGCGAAGGCGGGUUGCUGGGCCGACACUGACGCUGAUGCGCGAAAGCCAGGGGAGCGAACGGG